CGGGGCGUGGCUCAGCCCGGUAGAGCGCCUGGUUUGGGUCCAGGAGGUCCCCGGUUCGAAUCCGGGCGCCCCGA
rnacentral:tRNA from 1 species